AGCAUGAAUUUUUCAUGUUGUGCCUGACAAAGGAACAGUGCAAUAAAGUGGAAAUAAGACUGGAUUUGGACCAUCCUUGGUGCUUAGUGUCUGCACAUGAUGAAAAAAUAUUUCCGUUCCUGUCAACCUAG
rnacentral:lncRNA from 1 species